AGUGAACGCUGGCGGUAGGCCUAACACAUGCAAGUCGAACGGCAGCACAGAGGAGCUUGCUCCUUGGGUGGCGAGUGGCGGACGGGUGAGGAAUACAUCGGAAUCUACUCUUUCGUGGGGGAUAACGUAGGGAAACUUACGCUAAUACCGCAUACGACUUUCGGUUGAAAGCAGGGGAUCGCAAGACCUUGCGCGAUUGAAUGAGCCGGUGUCGGAUUAGCUAGUUGGCGGGGUAAAGGCCCACCAAGGCAACGAUCCGUAGCUGGUCUGAGAGGAUGGUCAGCCACACUGGAACUGAGACACGGUCCAGACUCCUACGGGAGGCAGCAGUGGGGAAUAUUGGACAAUGGGCGCAAGCCUGAUCCAGCCAUACCGCGUGGGUGAAGAAGGCCUUCGGGUUGUAAAGCCCUUUUGUUGGGAAAGAAAAGCACGCGGUUAAUACCCGAGUGUUCUGACGGUACCCAAGGAAUAAGCACCGGCUAACUUCGUGCCAGCAGCCGCAGUAA
rnacentral:rRNA from 1 species